GACAGAGGGUGCAAACGUUGUUCGGAAUUACUGGGCGUAAAGCGCGUGUAGGCGGCUAAGUAAGUCGGGCGUGAAAUCCCACGGCUCAACCGUGGAAGUGCACUCGAAACUGCGUAGCUAGAGUCCUGGAGAGGAAGGUGGAAUGCUUGGUGUAGAGGUGAAAUUCGUAGAUAUCAAGCGGAACACCGGUGGCGAAGGCGGCCUUCUGGACAGUGACUGACGCUGAGACGCGAAAGCCGUGGGGAGCAAACAGGG
rnacentral:rRNA from 1 species